rnacentral:rRNA from 1 species
AGUGAACGCUGGCGGUAGGCCUAACACAUGCAAGUCGAACGGCAGCACAGUAAGAGCUUGCUCUUACGGGUGGCGAGUGGCGGACGUGUGAGGAAUACAUCGGAAUCUACUUUUUCGUGGGGGAUAACGUAGGGAAACUUACGCUAAUACCGCAUACGACCUACGGGUGAAAGCAUGGGAUCUUCUGACCUUGCGCGGUUGAAUGAGCCGAUGUCGGAUUUGCUGGUUGGCGGGGUAAAGGCCCACCAAGGCGACGAUCCGUAGCUGGUCUGAGAGGAUGAUCAGCCACACUGGAACUGAGACACGGUCCAGGCGACUACGGGAGGCAGCAGUGGGGAAUAUUGGACAAAGGGCGCAAGCCUGAUCCAGCCAGACCGAGUGGGUGAAGAAGGCCUUCGGGUUGUAAAGCCCUUUUGUUGGGAAAGAAAAGCAGCAGGUUAAUACCCCGCUGUUCUGACGGUAACCAAAGAAUAAGCACCGGCUAACUUCGUG